AGAGUUUGAUUAUGGCUCAGAUUGAACGCUGGCGGCAGGCCUAACACAUGCAAGUCGAACGGUAACAGGAAGCAGCUUGCUGCUUCGCUGACGAGUGGCGGACGGGUGAGUAAUGUCUGGGAAACUGCCUGAUGGAGGGGGAUAACUACUGGAAACGGUAGCUAAUACCGCAUAACGUCGCAAGACCAAAGAGGGGGACCUUCGGGCCUCUUGCCAUCGGAUGUGCCCAGAUGGGAUUAGCUAGUAGGUGGGGUAACGGCUCACCUAGGCGACGAUCCCUAGCUGGUCUGAGAGGAUGACCAGCCACACUGGAACUGAGACACGGUCCAGACUCCUACGGGAGGCAGCAGUGGGGAAUAUUGCACAAUGGGCGCAAGCCUGAUGCAGCCAUGCCGCGUGUAUGAAGAAGGCCUUCGGGUUGUAAAGUACUUUCAGCGGGGAGGAAGGGAGUAAAGUUAAUACCUUUGCUCAUUGACGUUACCCGCAGAAGAAGCACCGGCUAACUCCGUGCCAGCAGCCGCGGUAAUACGGAGGGUGCAAGCGUUAAUCGGAAUUACUGGGCGU
rnacentral:rRNA from 1 species